AUUCAUUGCCGUGGCCGGCGGGCACUGGGGCCCCGUGUUUUCAGAGUCAUGGAGGCGCUAAUUCCUGUCAUUAACAAGCUCCAGGACGUCUUCAACACGGUGGGCGCCGACAUCAUCCAGCUGCCUCAAAUCGUCGUAGUGGGAACGCAGAGCAGCGGAAAGAGCUCAGUGCUAGAAAGCCUGGUGGGGAGGGACCUGCUUCCCAGAGGUACUGGAAUUGUCACCCGGAGACCUCUCAUUCUGCAACUGGUCCAUGUUUCACAAGAAGAUAAACGAAAAACAACAGGAGAAGAAAAUGACCCUGCUACAUGGAAAAACUCAAGACACCUUUCUAAAGGUUUCCUUUAUCCAUUUGCUUUUGACCCUUUUUUUCUCUUAUGCCUGCAUGUGUGCUUAUGUACUAUUACAGGCUGUGUGCAUUUUUUUUUCUUCCAUUUUUAUUUGCCCAUCCACAUUGAUUGCAGGUUUUAGUGGUUCUUGUUAUUUUUUUGGCAUUGCAUCAAAAUGCAAGCUUUUUUGGUGGUGAAUGUAAUUUAUUUUAUUUUUAUUUUUGAAGACAUGCUUGUGAAGCCAAG
rnacentral:sRNA from 1 species